GACGGGGGGGGGCAAGUGUUCUUCGGAAUUACUGGGCGUAAAGGGCGCGUAGGCGGCCCAGUAAGUCCGCUCUGAAAGUCAGGGGCUCAACUCCAGGCUUGCGGUCGAUACGGGCAGGCUCGAGUUCGGUAGGGGAGACUGGAAUUCCUGGUGUAGCGGUGAAAUGCGCAGAUAUCAGGAAGAACACCCGUGGCUAAGGCGGUUCUCUAGUACGGUACUGACGCUGAGACGCGAAAAGCGUGGGGGAGCAACGG
rnacentral:rRNA from 1 species